rnacentral:rRNA from 1 species
UACGUAGGGGGCAAGCGUUAUCCGGAAUUACUGGGUGUAAAGGGUGAGUAGGCGGCAUAGUAAGCCAGAUGUGAAAGCCUUGGGCUUAACCCGAGGAUUGCAUUUGGAACUAUCAAGCUAGAGUACAGGAGAGGAGAGCGGAAUUCCUAGUGUAGCGGUGAAAUGCGUAGAUAUUAGGAAGAACGCCAGUGGCGAAGGCGGCUUUCUGGACUGAAACUGACGCUGAGGCACGAAAGCGUGGGGAGCGAACAGG